AACGAACGCUGGCGGCAUGCCUAACACAUGCAAGUCGAACGAGACCUUCGGGUCUAGUGGCGCACGGGUGCGUAACGCGUGGGAAUCUGCCCUUCGGUUGGGAAUAACUGAGAGAAAUUUCAGCUAAUACCUUACAAUGUCUUCGGACCAAAGAUUUAUCGCCGAGGGAUGAGCCCGCGUAGGAUUAGGUAGUUGGUGGGGUAAUGGCCUACCAAGCCGCCGAUCCUUAGCUGGUCUGAGAGGAUGAUCAGCCACACUGGGACUGAGACACGGCCCAGACUCCUACGGGAGGCAGCAGUGGGGAAUAUUGGACAAUGGGCGAAAGCCUGAUCCAGCAAUGCCGCGUGAGUGAUGAAGGCCUUAGGGUUGUAAAGCUCUUUUACCCGGGAUGAUAAUGACAGUACCGGGAGAAUAAGCUCCGGCUAACUCCGUGCCAGCCGCCGCCGUAA
rnacentral:rRNA from 1 species